AUUGAACGCUGGCGGCAGGCCUAACACAUGCAAGUCGAGCGGAGCGGCGGACGGGGGAGGAAUGCCUAGGAAUCUGCCUGUGAGUGGGGGAUAACGUCCGGGAACGGGCGCUAAUACCGCAUACUAUCAGAUGAGCCUAGGUCGGAUUAGCUAGAUGGUGGGGUAAAGGCCUACCAAGGCGACGAUCCGUAACUGGUCUGAGAGGAGGAUCAGUCACACUGGAACUGAGACACGGUCCAGACGCCUACGGGAGGCAGCAGUAGGGAAUAGUGGGCAAUGGGCGAAAGCCUGAUCCAGCCAUGCCGCGUGUGUGAAGAAGGUUUUCGGAUUGUAAAGCACGUUUAGUUGGGAGGCGUUACCAACAGAAUAAGCACCGGCUAACUUCGUGCCAGCAGCCGCGGUAAUAC
rnacentral:rRNA from 1 species